ACUUCUCCCUCGGUUUUCUUUGGGGAGGCAACAAAAGUCCCUCUUUUCGAGCUCCCGGGCGAGCCCUCACGCCAGAAACCCUAGGCCCCGGUUAAAAUCGAGUCCAAUCCGCUAAUCUUCUUCCGUUUCCUUGCUCGUUGUCCCUGUCAGUCCAUAGCUGCGUCAAAUUCCGUAUCUGAGGUUGGAGUGCCUGUGGCGGGAUGGAGGGCUUCAUGUUCUCGAGUCCGAUGAUCAUUUCUCCAGUUGAUGUGGAGCCUCGCAUUGCUGAUGUCGAUGAAAUGAUAGAAAGCUCUGUUGGGAGAGAAUUGUUUGAGCCGAUUUUGGAACCAUAUGAAGGAAUGGAAUUCGAAUCUGAAGAGGCUGCCAGGGCAUUUUAUCAUACAUAUGCAUCUCAGAUGGGCUUCAAAGCACGCGUUAGCUCAUUUAUCCGUUCAAAACGUGACAAAACAAUUAUUUCUCGGCAACUUGUAUGCUCAAGAGAGGGUUUUCGUUCAACAAAAGAUACAAAUGGUGAAGGCAGAACUAAACGGCCUAGAAUAGUAACUAGAGUUGGCUGUAGAGCUAUGAUUAUGGUGAAGAAGCAAAGCUCUGGAAAAUGGGUGGUCACAAAGUGCGAAAAGAUACAUAAUCAUGUUCUUGGUACACAAGGGAAAGUGGUGAUGCUGGAUUAUGAUCCAUAUCUCCAUGAGGAUGAAGAAGUGAUAGAAAACCCAGUGGGGAAUGAAACAAGUAUGAACAGUGGAGCAAUAAGUGAUGAGAUGGUAGUCCUUCCACCUGAGGGGGAACCUGGUCUUGAACCUCAUGAAGGAAUGGAGUUUGAGUCGGAACAUGAAGCACAGGUAUUCUAUAAAGAGUAUGCAAAACGUGCAGGAUUUAGAGCCCGAAUUAGCUCAUACUAUCGAUCAAAACGUGAUAAUUCAAUAAUCUCUCGGUUGCUUGUGUGUUCAAAGGAAGGAUUUCGCGCAAAGAAAGAUGAAAAUGCUGAAGAGAGACUUCAACGACCUAGAGCUGUUACAAGGGUUGGCUGUAAGGCGAUGAUAAUGGUGAAGAAGCGAGAUUCUGGAAAAUGGACUGUUUCAAAGCUAGUGAAGCAUCAUAAUCAUGAAUUGACUCCAAGAUCAGCAUCAGAUGAUGAGUGCUCAGCGGAAGAGGAUGAUGAGCUAGUUGAAAUGGAACGGGCCUUUGUUUUACAUGAGGGUGAUGCUAUUACUGAACCAUAUGAGGGCAUGGAAUUUGAGUCUGAAGAUGAUGCAAAGAUAUUUUAUAUUGCAUAUUCAAGGCACAUUGGCUUUAACAUGCGUGUUAGUACAUACUACCGGUCAAAGCGAGAUAAAUCAAUCAUAUCUCGUUUAUUUGUGUGCUCAAAGGAGGGAUUCUAUGUGAAGAAAGAUAUGGGUGGUGAGAGUAAGAUAAAAAGACCUCGAGAAGCCACCAGGAUAGGCUGCAAAGCAAUGCUUAUGGUAAAGAAGAAUAAUUCUGGAAAGUGGGUUGUUUCAAAAUUUGAAAAAGAUCACAAUCACCUGCUUGGUUCUUUAAGCAAAAUAAGGAAGUUUCGAAAACAGAAGCUUUUAUCUGGUAGUCCAGAGGAGAACCAGCUUGAACUAAACCAUAAUGGUAGGGAAUCACCAACUACUCGAUACAACAACUUGUGUCGUGAAGCCAUGAAAUAUGCUGAAGUUGGUGCAGCAUCUCCAGAUGUUUACAGUGUGGCAAUGCAUGCUCUACGAGAGGCUGUCGAGAAAGUUACAGCUAUUAAAAGAAAGGCAGGUGGAGUUGCAGAUCUUGGACCAGUUGUAGGUAAAUGUAGUAUAGAGAAUAGGAAUAAACAGGACAGCCAGAUUGAGCCUUCUGCGCAUCUCAAUCAACAAUCUAGAACAAGAUCACACCCUUCGGAAAGUCGGUCCAAGUCAAGUUAUGACAGGCCUCCUCGGAAGAUGAGAAUCUGCAACUCAGGCAAGCAGCCUAGGGAUCAUAUCGGUAGGAGUUGUCCAUCAAAGCAGGUGCAGUUGCAGCAGAUCGACAUAGUUCCUCAUGAAUCAGUUAAUAUGCUAUUUGAUGAACCAGUCAAUGAGCUCAUCCAGAAGGGUGAUGGAUAAUAUAUAAUCAUGUAUAUCAACAGUAUAGAUGUAAAUGUAGAUACAGGUAUACUAGAUUAUCGUGACAGCUUGCAUAGAUGGCUCAUGUCUCGAUCACUAUCCACCGGUGCAGUGUGUAUUCAGAUACUGAUUGGUCAAGGGCUCAGAGUUCCUACCACUCUCUUCAGCUUAGUUGACUCGUCGACGCCACCGGCUCUCCUUCCGCAGGCUGAAUUCAGAGCCUGCGCCUACCGAACAGGGUGCAGGACUUUCCUCCGAUAGAAGCGAGGGGAGUCCGCCCGUUGCAGCUGACACGGGUGAUGCCCGGCGGGGAGAAACUCAGUUUCGUGUCUGGGAAGAGACGGUAGAUCACACGUAGUGAGUGCAUGCUUUUGACGUGUUGGAACAGGUUUUCUAUGCUCCUCUGUCUGUGAUAGCCGCUCCCACAGGUAAUUCCAAAGUCCAUCUUCGCAGGUUAUAUAUAUACAUUUAUAUUUAUAUCAACGAACGAACGUUCAUCAGAGCAUAUCGGACACAUUAGAGUCGAGGAGGAAAGGAAUGGGAAAUAUGGGGAAGCGUAGUCGGAAAAUUGUGGCCAGAAUCAUUGGCCGUCUAUGGCGUCUGUUUCGCAGGUGGCUCUUUUUGAUGUUCACCUUUGGCCCCAUGCCGCAACACAUUGCGUUCAUCCUGGAUGG